ACAUUCUUAGUUUAUCUAGAAUUGCAGUUUGUCAUACUGCGGGCGAGACUUUUGUCUCAGAGUGGG
rnacentral:tRNA from 1 species